AGUGAACGCUGGCGGUAGGCCUAACACAUGCAAGUCGAACGGCAGCACAGUAAGAGCUUGCUCUUACGGGUGGCGAGUGGCGGACGGGUGAGGAAUACAUCGGAAUCUACUUUUUCGUGGGGGAUAACGUAGGGAAACUUACGCUAAUACCGCAUACGACCUACGGUUGAAAGCAGGGGAUAUUCGGACCUUGCGCGAUUGAAUGAGCCGAUGUCGGAUUAGCUAGUUGGCGGGGUAAAGGCCCACCAAGGCGACGAUCCGUAGCUGGUCUGAGAGGAUGAUCAGCCACACUGGAACUGAGACACGGUCCAGACUCCUACGGGAGGCAGCAGUGGGGAAUAUUGGACAAUGGGCGCAAGCCUGAUCCAGCCAUACCGCGUGGGUGAAGAAGGCCUUCGGGUUGUAAAGCCCUUUUGUUGGGAAAGAAAAGCAGCAGGUUAAUACCCCGCUGUUCUGACGGUACCCAAAGAAUAAGCACCGGCUAACUUCGUG
rnacentral:rRNA from 1 species